CGUUCCUGCAGCAAGAGGGAGGAAGAGGAGGCAUGUGGUUCGACCCUGCCCGUGGGGCUAACAGGUGCAGGGAGCUGUAGCGUGGGCUCUGGGGUCCGAAUGACGGGGAUUCACACUUGACCCGGGCACUCACAACUGGAGCCCCGGGAUGGCAGUGGCACCUGCAGCCGGUCGGGCUGAGAGAAGCCCCCAGUUAGUGCCUACAGCAUCUAAAACCCUGCCAAGUGCAGCGCACAUGCUCGGUGAUGUCUGCAUCUAGUGGCAUCCGUGGGGUUUUGUUUUUGUGGGUUCGGGUGACUCCUCUCCUCUCCCCUCUUCCAUGCCCUCCUGUGGGGGCCAAAGGCUGCCCAAGACACUCUCAGAAGUGGGCAGGUGUCCCCUAACACCCCUGCCUGGGGAAGCUCCCAUCAAGGUUUCUCAGGGAGGCUACAGCAAAGUUGUUCAAAAGAACAUUCCGCGACGGCAGAACCUGUGUCGUCAGGUGCGGUAGCAAGGAGCCGUAGGGCAGCGGUGGCCGAGACGGCCAAGCUGGCCCACCGCUUCGGCGUGAGAUCCGAGUCUGAGGUUACUCAUGGCCCGUGACGGAGCUACGGCCAACUAGCAGUCAGUGCGUGGCUGCCCUGAGACUUCUGGAAGGAGUCUCAGAGAGUGGGAGGCGGGCCUUCGUUGGGAAGGCUCUUCCUCUUCUGUUGCACUGCCUGGAAUAUCAUGGUGGCUGGACCUCGGGCAGCCAUCUUGGAAGAGGAGGAGGAAGGCUCAGGAAUAAGGAUGGACCUGGAUGCCUUUGGAGCUGCCCCACCUGCCCCAGAUGGGAACGUCAUAAGAAACAAUAGCAACUUC